rnacentral:lncRNA from 1 species
GUCCCCGGCGUCCGGGCGCCCUGCAUGGAUCCCCCACCCCAGCUCCUGCUCCCCGGCGGCGGCCGGUGGGCAGAAAGACCGAAACCCACUCACGGCCGCCUGCCGAAUCGCGGCUCUGCUGUUUGUGGGGCGUGCUAGAAACGUGGUCCUAAAAAGAAUGGCGUCCAUUUACAUAAUGCUUUGUUUGCGUUUCGCAAGUUUCUUUCGGUUAAAGCCACAGAAACCCCACCUCCUGCCCUUGUGUCGUUUCCACCGCGGCACCCUUUUCCGACAUUAGAAACAAUAGUGUACGCCUGUGGAGGCCUCGUUUGUUCAGGGGCUGCCGGCCAGGGCUUCAGGACGUUUCUGCGGCUUUCCCCGCGCGGCCUGGGCUCCCGCGGCUGCUUUUCGGGCCCAUGGGCGCAGCCACUGCGCCAGGCUCAAGGGGGGCGGCCCCGUCAGGGCCCGCCAUCUUGGAAGGCCUUUUUUGCCGGUUCUUCCCGCUGAGGAAGUGUCGCUCAAGACGCUGGCCUAUGAGUUGUGAUUUCUGCCUUUUCCCCUUCCUCCUUGGGCUAAGCCAGACCAGAAAGGGCCCCGUGCGCAACGUGCUUCACAAUCUCUCAGGGAAAGCGGCUAACGUGGCGCUACUCCGCCUCCCCUGUUCCUUACCCUUGGGGCGGCCGCCAUGUUUCCUGAACACAAAAUGGCGACACGUGGUUAGCAUUCGUCGCCAACGAGAAAUUGGGGUCGGCCCGAAAGCUCUAGAAUGCACCCCUCUUCCUCCCCGGGGCCUUCCACCUCCGCGAGUUUUAUGACUUAAAAAAGCCCACAGGCUGGUCUGAAGGUCGGAGGCCUAAUUUUAACGCGUUUUCCUCCCUUUAAUUUGAAACGGGAACGCGAAUGACUGUAAAAUGUGGGCACAAUAUUUAAUCUCUCGCCUUUUUAAAGCUUAAUAGUGGAUAAUAGGGGGGCAGUAUCAAGGGAUAAUUUGGGUCCCCACAGUACCAAAGCAUUUAGAAACCUCUGUUUAAUUUAAGGAAUGAGAUAAGUUACUGCUUUUCUAGACUUCCUAGCAUGGGCUGUUGUGCUGGAGAGAACGAGAGCUACGAAGAGACUACAGUGCCUCUGACUUUUUCAUAGGACAGUUGGCCGAGGAAGACAAACAUAAAGAUGAAGUGCUUAAUUCAAGGUCACACAAUGUCGGGGAUGGACCUCCAGAUUUCCUUACUGACCUGCAUUAUCUUGUGGAUACCUGAGUGAAUUCCACACCACCCAUUUUAUAGAUGAAACCACUGAGACAUGGAGCAAUUGACUGAGUAGUCACUGCCCCACCCCUGCCUGGAGCCUCACACAUGACUCGCCUCCUCUCAGUGACCACAGGAAAACAAGCUCAGGGCUCCCACUGAUUGUACAUUAUGAGACGGAGUCUUGCUAUGUUGCCCAGGCUGGUCUUGAACUCCUCACCUCAAGCGAUCCUCCCGUCUUGGCCUCCCAAGUGUCAGGAUUACGGGCAUGUGCUAUCACACCCAACCUGAUACAUUGCCUUUAUAAAUUUUUUUUUCUUUAUUCUAAAAACCAGAAAAAACAAAACUGGAUACAUGUGCAGAACAUGCAGGUGAGACGUGGUCUUGUAACACAGUGGUUAAGAAUGUGACUUUGGAGCCAGCCUGCUAGGGGCUGAAUUCUGACUCAGCCAUUUACUAACUGUGUGACCUUAGUCUGUCUAGUGACUGGUGUUGUCAUAAGAAGAGAGGGACACAGAGGGAAGAUGGCCACAUGAAGAUGGAGGCAGAGAUUGCAGUUAUGCUGCUGCAAACUAAGGAAUGGCUCUGGCCCUCCAAGGAUUGCUGAUAACCACCAGAAACUAGAAGAGACAAGGAAGGAUUCUUCCCUAGAGCCUUCAGAGGGAGCAUGGCCCUACUGACACCUGGAUUUCAAACUUGUAGCUUCCUAAACUGCAAGAGAAUAAAUUUCUGUUGUUUUAAGCCA